UACGUAGGGUGCGAGCGUUGUCCGGAAUUAUUGGGCGUAAAGAGCUCGUAGGCGGUCUGUCGCGUCGGUCGUGAAAACUUGGGGCUUAACCCUGAGCUUGCGGUCGAUACGGGCAUGACUGGAGUUCGGUAGGGGAGACUGGAAUUCCUGGUGUAGCGGUGAAAUGCGCAGAUAUCAGGAAGAACACCCGUGGCGAAGGCGGUUCUCUGGGACGGUACUGACGCUGAGACGCGAAAGCGUGGGGAGCGAACAGG
rnacentral:rRNA from 1 species